rnacentral:rRNA from 1 species
GACGAACGCUGGCGGCGUGCUUAACACAUGCAAGUCGAACGGAAAGGCCCUGCUUUUGUGGGGUGCUCGAGUGGCGAACGGGUGAGUAACACGUGAGUAACCUGCCCUUGACUUUGGGAUAACUUCAGGAAACUGGGGCUAAUACCGGAUAGGAGCUCCUGCUGCAUGGUGGGGGUUGGAAAGUUUCGGCGGUUGGGGAUGGACUCGCGGCUUAUCAACUUGUUGGUGGGGUAGUGGCUUACCAAGGCUUUGACGGGUAGCCGGCCUGAGAGGGUGACCGGCCACAUUGGGACUGAGAUACGGCCCAGACUCCUACGGGAGGCAGCAGUGGGGAAUAUUGCACGAUGGGCGGAAGCCUGAUGCAGCAACGCCGCGUGCGGGAUGACGGCCUUCGGGUUGUAAACCGCUUUCGCCUGUGACGAAGCGUGAGUGACGGUAAUGGGUAAAGAAGCACCGGCUAACUACGUG